GGCCAUGGAGGGGCUCUG
rnacentral:misc_RNA from 1 species